rnacentral:tRNA from 2 species
GCGCCCGUGGCGGAAUUGGUAGACGCGUUAGACUUAGGAUCUAAUUGUUCACGCAGUGCAGGUUCGAGUCCUGUUGGGCGCACCA